rnacentral:rRNA from 1 species
CACGUAGGGGGCAAGCGUUGUCCGGAUUUAUUGGGCGUAAAGAGCUCGUAGGUGGUUCGGUAAGUCAGGUGUGAAACCUCCAGGCUCAACCUGGAGACGCCACUUGAUACUGCUGUGACUGGAGUCCGGUAGGGGAGCGUGGAAUUCCUGGUGUAGCGGUGAAAUGCGCAGAUAUCCGGAGGAACACCGGUGGCGAAGGCGGCUUCCUGGACCGACACUGACGCUGAGGCGCGAAAGCUAGGGGAGCGAACGGG